rnacentral:lncRNA from 1 species
CAAGGCCAUUCUGAGUAUCCGUGAAGACAAGCCCCCACUGGCUGUCAAGUACUUUUUCGACUUCCUGGAGGAGCAGGCUGAGAAGAGGGGAAUCUCCGACCCCGACACCCUACACAUCUGGAAGACCAACAGCCUUCCUCUCCGGUUCUGGGUGAACAUCCUGAAGAACCCCCAGUUUGUCUUUGACAUCGACAAGACAGACCACAUCGACGCCUGCCUUUCAGUCAUCGCGCAGGCCUUCAUCGACGCCUGCUCCAUCUCUGACCUGCAGCUGGGCAAGGAUUCGCCAACCAACAAGCUCCUCUACGCCAAGGAGAUUCCUGAGUACCGGAAGAUCGUGCAGCGCUACUACAAGCAGAUCCAGGACAUGACGCCGCUCAGCGAGCAAGAGAUGAAUGCCCAUCUGGCCGAGGAGUCGAGGAAAUACCAGAAUGAGUUCAACACCAAUGUGGCCAUGGCAGAGAUUUAUAAGUACGCCAAGAGGUAUCGGCCGCAGCUUUUAUAUAUUAAAAAACGUAUCAUGCACCAACUGUGAAUAGCUGCCGCUUGCGCAGAGGACCCGGGGAGGGGUCCCGAGAGGCUCCCCAUGCAACACUGGAAAUGACUGUUCCAGAGAGCGGGCAGACCUGGCAGAGCGCCCCUGGCGCCUGAGACUACCACCCACUCCGUUCCUGCCAGAAACGACCCUCUGUGGCCGAUGGGCCAUGCGGGCCCCUCGCAGCCAACUCAGCCAGUGUUGGGACUGGCUCAGAGCCCAUGGGGGCUGGAGGGGGGCAGCUGGGACUCUGGAAUCUUCUUUAUAAUAAAAGCCUUACG